GCUUGUCUACAGCCAUAACCACCCUGAACGUGCCCGAUCUCGCCUGAUCUCGGAAGCUAAGCAGGGUUGGGCCUGGUUAGUACUUGGAUGGGAGAAAUACCCAGCUUAUUCAAGCA
ensembl:rRNA 5S_rRNA 5S ribosomal RNA